rnacentral:rRNA from 1 species
GGUUUGAAAAGUCAGCUGUGAAAGCCCCGGGCUCAACCUGGGAACUGCGGUUGAAACUCUCAAGCUAGAGUGCGUCAGAGGGGGGUGGAAUUCCACGUGUAGCAGUGAAAUGCGUAGAGAUGUGGAGGAACACCAAUGGCGAAGGCAGCUCCCUGGGAUGACACUGACGCUCAUGCACGAAAGCGUGGGGAGCAAACAGGAUUAGAUACCCUGGUAGUCCACGCCCUAAACGAUGUCGACUAGCCGUUGGAGAUUUCGGUUUCUGGUGGCGCAGCUAACGCGUGAAGUCGACCGCCUG